rnacentral:rRNA from 1 species
CCUACGGGUGGCAGCAGUCGAGAAUCAUUCACAAUGGGGGAAACCCUGAUGGUGCGACGCCGCGUGGGGGAAUGAAGGUCUUCGGAUUGUAAACCCCUGUCAUGUGGGAGCAAAUUAAAAAGAUAGUACCACAAGAGGAAGAGACGGCUAACUCUGUGCCAGCAGCCGCGGUAAUACAGAGGUCUCAAGCGUUGUUCGGAAUCACUGGGCGUAAGGCGUGCGUAGGCUGUUUCGUAAGUCGUGUGUGAAAGGCGCGGGCUCAACCCGCGGACGGCACAUGAUACUGCGAGACUAGAGUAAUGGAGGGGGAACCGGAAUUCUUGGUGUAGCAGUGAAAUGCGUAGAUAUCGAGAGGAACACUCGUGGCGAAGGCGGGUUCCUGGACAGUAACUGACGCUGAGGCACGAAGGCCAGGGGAGCGAAAGGGAUUAGAUACCCCUGUAGUC